rnacentral:rRNA from 1 species
AUUGAACGCUGGCGGCAUGCCUUACACAUGCAAGUCGAACGGCAGCAUGAUCUAGCUUGCUAGAUUGAUGGCGAGUGGCGAACGGGUGAGUAAUACAUCGGAACGUGCCCUGUAGUGGGGGAUAACUAGUCGAAAGAUUAGCUAAUACCGCAUACGACCUGAGGGUGAAAGUGGGGGACCGCAAGGCCUCAUGCUAUAGGAGCGGCCGAUGUCUGAUUAGCUAGUUGGUGAGGUAAAGGCUCACCAAGGCGACGAUCAGUAGCUGGUCUGAGAGGACGAUCAGCCACACUGGGACUGAGACACGGCCCAGACUCCUACGGGAGGCGGCAGUGGGGAAUUUUGGACAAUGGGGGCAACCCUGAUCCAGCAAUGCCGCGUGUGUGGAGAGGGCCUUCGGGUUGUAAAGCACUUUUGUCCGGAAAGAAAUCGCACUUACUAAUAUUAGGUGUGGAUGACGGUACCGGAAGAAUAAGGAUCGGCUAACUCCGUGCCAGCCGCCGCCGUAAUAC